rfam:Haemonchus placei strain MHpl1 genome assembly, scaffold: HPLM_scaffold0003809
GGCCCAAAUUUGAAGUAAAGUAGAUCAGUAAGGUUAACUGAUCCCGAUAAUCUUCUUUACUUCAAAUUUGGGCCA